CCUACGGGGGGCUGCAGUCGAGGAUCUUCGGCAAUGGGCGCAAGCCUGACCGAGCGACGCCGCGUGUGGGAUGAAGGCCCUCGGGUUGUAAACCACUGUCAGAGGGGAUGAAAUGCCAUGGGGUUCUCUUCAUGGUUUGACAUAUCCUCAGAGGAAGGACGGGCUAAGUUCGUGCCAGCAGCCGCGGUAAGACGAACCGUCCAAACGUUAGGCGGUAUCACUGGCGUUGAAGGGUGCAUAGGUUGGGCGAGAAAGCCCUCGGCUUAACCGAGGAAUUGCGCUCAAAACUGCCGUGCUUGAGGGAGAUAGAGGUGAGCGGAACUUAGGGUGGAGCGGUGAAAUGCGUUGAUAUCCUAAGGAACACCUGGGGCGAAAGCGGCUCACUGGAUCUUUUCUGACGCUGAUGCACGAAAGCUAGGGUAGCGAACGGGAUUAGAUACCCGGGUAGUC
rnacentral:rRNA from 1 species